GACGUCUGCUACAAAAGAUCGGGUUGCCAACUGAAGCUUGAAUGGGGGUCUGUAUGGGAAAGUUGUUUGUAUUGAACAUUCAAUUUAUACGACAUAGAGAUUCAUCCUUUACUCUGCACGAAUCCCUACGACGUGGACUGGACUGAACUCACUCUGGAAAUCCCGCAGAUUUCUGCUCUGCAGGCUUUAUCUACAAGUUGUAGUUCUCCCGGAGCAGGUGGACAGAGCUCCCUCCUAGACAUACUGUAGGACAAAGUUGAACUAAUUUUCCGAGGGGGAUACAGUCUCACAGGAGUAGGGGAGAGAGCAGAAGCUUGAAAACAGGAGAAAGAAGCAUUACAAAGUUUCUUAUAUUCACUUGGACUUUUGAUCUAUGUAAAGCUUGUUCAAUGGCAGGGCUGGGGAUAAAAAACAGCCCUGGAAAUAAAUGCAUACCA